rnacentral:misc_RNA from 1 species
AGAGUUGGAGCGAAUUGUGUAGAGAGAUUUGCUACCAAUGGCUGUGGUUGCAAAAGUGCAAAAUGAAAACCGUUCUCCUUGAGGAUAAACAUAUUUCUUAUUUAUAUUUCAAUUUGGUCAUUCCAGUAACACAGUUUGGUCAUUAUGGCAGCUGCUCCUUCACCCCAACACCAACAACAACACCCCCCAUCCCCACACCACAACCCAAUCCCCCACUCCCCCUACCCCCAACACCAAUCUCUUGGUAAUGCCUUCAUUUUUAAUGCUCAAGUAUCUUGUACUUUUAAACCAAAUUUAGACUGCAUUUUUUUUCUUACUGUUAGCAUCAAAUUUAAAGAUAUGGCAACUUCUUGAUUAGAGAAUUGGGGGAUGGUUAGUAACUUAAUGUAUGGCCAUCAUUUGUUAUUAUGUAUUUUGGCAUAUUGUCAUGACUUUGAGCACCAAUUUUAUCAUUGGGUUUAAUUCUUGAGUUUGUGAUUCUGGCUAUAAUGCUAAUGGGCAGACAAACGGUGGGAUGAGAUGAAAGCACAUUUCAGCAAAUGAAACAGUUUUUAUGACUUAGGAUUUUAAACAUUACAGUUUGUUAUAAUUACUGCAUCUGCCCCUGUGCAUCGGGUACCUGUUGCGCGGGGGCACCUGUUGUCUCAAGGGAAAAUAUGCUGGCAAGUUGGGAUAAUACAGCACAGUCCGACUGCAGUUGUUUUCGUAGGCAUCUCUCAAGUGUCUUGGUUUUGUUGUUCUCUCAAGUAUGGGUAUUAAU